GGCCUGCCCACUGAUAGAAUUUAAGGGCCGCGGUAAUUCGACCGUGCAAAGGUAGCAUAAUAGUUAGUUUUUUAAUUGGAAUCUUGUAUGAAUGAUUGGACAAAAGAAAAUCUGUCUCUAAUCUUUUAACUGAACUUAACCUUUAGAUGAAAAGGCUCAAAUAUUUUAAGAAGACGAUAAGACCCUAUAAAGCUUAAUGGGUUAGUAUUAUUCAGUUAAAUUAUUUAUAAAAACUGAAUGGUCGAAUUCAUUUUGUUGGGGCGACAAUAGUAAAAUGCUUACUAACUGCUAAAAUUUUAAACAAUUAUAUACAUGAUUAAAGGUUUAAAUGAUCCUAAAUAAAGAUUAAAAGUUUAAGUUACUUUAGGGAUAACAGCGUUAUUUUUCUUGAGAGUCCUUAUCGAAAGAAAAGUUUGCGACCUCGAUGUUGAAUUAAAAUUUCCGUCUAAUUGCAGAAGU
rnacentral:rRNA from 1 species